UAAAAUUACUUUUCACAGAGUAAGAUAAGGUUAGAGAGAGGUUCACAAAGCAUAUGCUUCAACAGAAUUACGUUAUAAUUUCAAAAGGUUCGCUCGCAUUCCUUGUACUUAUAGGUAGAAAAUGGACUUGCGUCUGCACCUUUUCCGCGUUUCGGUCAUAUUUGUCUGUGUCAACUCCUCAACUUCAAGAUCAAUUCAAAGAAAGGGCAAUGCCAAAACAUUGCAACAUCUGCCUGCUGGAAUUGAUCAGUUUGUGAAGGAUAUGGGCAUCAAUAAGCCAUUCUCCAAGUUAUGCAGGGCGGAUAUGCUCAGUCUAAUUCGUCAAAUUUCCCAAAAGCAUAAAGAUGGAUCGGAAAACGGAUUGCAAGAUAACAAGCUCAAAAAAGAAGUUGCGGAUCUACGUGAAAUAGUUGAAAGCUGUAAAGCAAGAAUGGCCAUGACCCCAAUUUGGCACAGCCGUUACAGAAUUUAUUAAUAAGGACAAAGCAGUACUUUCGUUUCAAUCAAAAUCAAUUGUUUUUGCAUUCUGUUUGGAAGCUACACCGCGUAAUCGAUCCAAAACGGGUUUUCAAAGAUUGAGGGGAGGGGGGAACAAAAAAAAGAGUACGUGCAUAAAAAAGCACAAACCAAGCACAAACGAUUGACACCACUUUCACCCCUCUAAUGCAAAGUGGUCGAUUUUCAUUUCCACAGGUCGACCAAAUGUCUUUUGAAAAUUGAGGAGCGGGGGGGGGGAGCACAAAAAAAAGAGUAAGUGCACAAAAUAACACAAACGAAGCAAAAACGAUUGACACCCAUACCUGAAAGUGGUCGUUCUGGGGAAAUGGACCUGCUGAAGGUGAACACUAAGGCUGGGAAGACGAGUUGGCGAUUUUUGAGUGCACAGCUGCGACAAGAGAAAUCUCGCCAUAGUUAUAAAAAAAAGAAAAAAUUAUGGAAUUAAGGCAGUAGGUAUUGGAUCGCUUACCUACUUCCUCAUUACACGGUUCCAUGCUUAAUUCAAACGACUUGAAAUGUUCUCCUUUCAACCACAUCUGCAAUCGGUCAGCCCAUCGGUGCAACUUUCUACAUUCACAGAUUCUUUCUGGUUCCGAAGAUUGUGUCAAACUAGUUCCCAUCAAAUUCAGUUUUUCCAGUGUACAUAAUUUUGCUAUAUCUUCGGUUGUUACAUUAUUCAAAGGAUUUUCACUCAAGUUUAAUUCCGUCAAAUUUAUCGGGCAAAGUCCAAUUAUGAGUUUUACUGUUGAGGUGAGCAUCGGUAAAAGUCAAACUAUCCAAAGCUGGCAAAUCAAAUAAUUGUUUUGUUACUUCGAAUCGUUCAUUACGAAUUGCAUUGGCAAAAUCAACUGAUUCGAAGCUGCCAAUUGAUAGAAAUCUCACAGAUGGGAAUAGAUUGAGCAGUUCGGUUUUGUUUUUUACUUCGAAACGGAAUUUGUUUGAUGGUGGCGUUAUAGUAACUAUCUGUGAAAAUAGAUUUGAUAUUGAAAUAAAUUCGCACGUAGCAUGUAAAAGUAGGUAAUACUUACAUAUAUUUUGAUAGGUACCUACUCAACACCAUAGUGUGUAAGGCAGGACCUUAUCAGUGCACUUAAGAUUAAACUGAUUUAAAUUAAUGAAAGAAUUCAAUGUAUUGUAAAAAAAUAUACCUCUGCACUUCUAAAAUUAUCAGAUGCAGUUAAAUUCGGGAGAACUGCCAUUAAUCCGUCUGUUGGAUCAGCGUCCUCGGCCAUUUUUAUU